GACUCCAAGUCUCCAACAUCACAUGCCCUCCCUCCCUUAGCCCUCAUUACACUCAUUAGGAAAGGCCAGAGACCCCAGCACUUAUUCAAAGGCGGGAGAACCAGACGUCUGAAAUGACAGUCAUGCUUUCUCCAUCACAGAACGCUGUCCAGCCAUACGUUAUGCACCUCUCACCAUAUGCUGCAGACACCCCCCUACCAGUAUACAAGUGUGCCAGCUGCUGCACGUACUCAUUUGUCCCCAAGGCUUCCGAAGCUCAGCCCUUCCCAUCCACCAGACUCCGUAAUCGACGUCAGUCCCAGGUGCCCUUACCUGUUGUAUCUGAAAUACCGUUCUCACCCUUAUAGAACCUGUGCACUAAAAGAGCCAGCUGCCCGCUCCUACCCCAGUCUCUCCAGCCAAUGAAAACAGUCGUAGCCAACGGACAAGAUGUCAAGGCUGUUCGGUGCACUUUGGCACAUUUCUCAUCAAGCAUCUAGGAAAGAUUCCUAUUAUACAAGAACACACAGAGUCACGCCUGGAAACCUGAAUGCUAUCCACAGUGAAAGGAUAAAAUGACCAUAGAGAAAAUAAUCAAGAGGCUGGAGAGAUGGCUCAGUGGCUAAGAACAUUUGUGGCUUUUACAGAGGACCCAGAUUCAAAUGCCAGCAUCCACUUGGACACUCACCACUGUCUGUAACUCCAGCUCCGGGAGAUCCAACACCCUCUUUUGACUUCCUUGGGCAGCAGACAUGUACAUGUAGGCGAGAAAGAUUGCUUGAAAAAAAA